rnacentral:sRNA from 1 species
UGUUAAGGUAAGUCGAGGCCCUCCGUGA